GGUGCUUAAGUAGCCACCAUUUGAGGUUACAUCUCAGAUAAUAUUUUGCCACAUAUCUGUGCUGGACCAAGUUUGGUUGUGACUGAAUGUUAACUACACUUGUAAUUUUCUUUCUUAAUAAAGGCAAACAAGUUUGAAAUGUGACGGUAUAAAACUGAAUGGUGAAUCCAAAUCUGAUAUCGGAUUUACUUUCAUCAACCACUAAAUUUCAGAUUAAAAUUCAGACUAAAUCCGAUUAACUCUAAACAAAACCACAAAAACGACAGGGGCGUUUUUUUUGUUUUGUUUUG